CCAUUUCAGAACGAACUUCAUCCGAACUUGAAUUAUCCGAUUUCAAGGACCAAUCGAUAUCGGAUUGAGUCCAAAACUUGGGGAACAUCAUAAUAUUGUGGGAGGAGUCAUUUGGUGGGUUUUGAGUGAAAUCCAAUCUCUAGAUCUAUACAAUACACCAACCACCCCAUUUCAUAAUGAACUUCGUACGAACCUGAAUUGUCCGAUUUCAAGGACCAAUCGACAUCGGAUUGAGUCCAAAACUUGGGGAACAUCAUAAUAUUGUGGGAGGAGUCAUUUGGUGGGUUUUUAGUGAAAUCCAAUCUCUAGUACUGUACAAUACACCAACCACCCCAUUUCAGAACGAACUUCGUCCGAACCUGAAUUGUCCGAUUUCAAGGACCAAUCGACAUCGGAUUGCGUCCAAAACUUGGGGAACAUCAUAAUAUUGUGGGAGGAGUCAUUUGGUGGGUUUUGAGUGAAACCCAGUCUCUAGAACUAUACAAUACACCAACCACCCCAUUUCAAAACGAACUUCGUACGAACCUGAAUUGUCCGAUUUCAAGGACCAAUUGACAUCAGAUUGAGUCCAAAACUUGGGGAACAUCAUAAUAUUGUGGGAGGAGUCAGUUGGUGGAUUUUGAGCGAAAUCCAAUCUCUAGAACUAUACAAUACACCUACCACCCCAUUUUAGAACGAACUUCGUACGAACCUGAAUUGUCCGAUUUCAAGGACCAAUCGACAUCGGAUUGAGUCCAAAACAUGGGGAACAUCAUAAUAUUGUGGGAGGAGUCAUUUGGUGGGUUUUGAGUGAAAUCCAAUCUCUAGAACUAUACAAUACACCAACCACCCCAUUUGUGAACGAACUUCGUACGAACCUGAAUUGUCCGAUUUCAAGGACCAAUCGACAUCGGAUUGAGUCCAAAACUUGGGGAACAUCAUAAUAUUGUGGGAGGAGUCAUUUGGUGGGUUUUGAGUGAAACCCAGUCUCUAGAACUAUACAAUACACCAACCACCCCAUUUCAAAACGAACUUCGUACGAACCUGAAUUGUCCGAUUUCAAGGACCAAUUGACAUCAGAUUGAGUCCAAAAAUUGGGGAACAUCAUAAUAUUGUGGGAGGAGUCAUUUGGUGGGUUUUGAGCGAAAUCCAAUCUCUAGAACUAUACAAUACACCUACCACCCCAUUUUAGAACGAACUUCGUACGAACCUGAAUUGUCCGAUUUCAAGGACCAAUCGACAUCGGAUUGAGUCCAAAACAUGGGGAACAUCAUAAUAUUGUGGGAGGAGUCAUUUGGUGGGUUUUGAGUGAAAUCCAAUCUCUAGAACUAUACAAUACACUAACCACCUCAUUUGUGAGUGAACUUCGUACGAACCUGAAUUGUCCGAUUUCAUGGACCAAUCGACAUCGGAUUGAGGCCAAAACUUGGGGAACAUCAUAAUAUUGUGGGAGGAGUCAUUUGGUGGGUUUUGAGUGAAAUCCAAUCUCUAGAACUAUACAAUAACCAAUCCAUUUCAGAACGAAGUUCAUCCGAACCUGAAUUGUCCGAUUUCAAGCACCAAUCGAUAUCGGAUUGAGUCCAAAACUUGGGGAACAUCAUAAAAUUGUGGGUGGAGUCAUUUGGUGGGUUUUGAGCGAAAUCCAAUCUCUAGAACUAUACAAUACACCUACCACCCCAUUUCAGAACGAACUUCGUACGAACCUGAAUUGUCCGAUUUCAAGGAUCAAUCGACAUCGGAUUGAGUCCAAAACCUGGGGAACAUCAUAAUACUGUGGGAGGAGUCAUUUGGUGGGUUUUGAGUGAAAUCCAAUCUCUAGAACUAUACAAUACACUAACCACCCCAUUUGUGAGUGAACUUCGUACGAACCUGAAUUGUCCGAUUUCAAGGACCAAUCGACAUCGGAUUGAGUCCAAAACUUGGGGAACAUCAUAAUAUUGUGGGAGGAGUCAUUUGGUGGGUUUUGAGUGAAAUCCAAUCUCUAGAACUAUACAAUAACCAAUCACCCCAUUUCAGAACGAAGUUCAUCCGAACCUGAAUUGUCCGAUUUCAAGGACCAAUCGCCAUCGGAUUGAGUCUAAAACUUGGGGAACAUCACAAUAUUGUGGGAGGAGUCAUUUGGUGGGUUUUGAGCGAAAUCCAAUCUCUAGAACUAUACAAUACACCAACCACCCCAUUUCAGAACGAACUUCGUACGAACCUGAAUUGUCCGAUUCAAGGACCAAUCUAUAUCAGAUUGAGUCCAAAACUUAGGGAACAUCGUAAUAUUAUGGGAGGAGUCAUUUGGUGGGUUUCGAGUGAAAUCCAAUCUCUAGAAGUAUACAAUACACCGACCACCCCAUUUAUGAACGAACUUCGUACGAACCUGAAUUGUCCGAUUUCAAGGACCAAUCUAUAUCGGAUUGAGUCCAAAACUUGGGGAACAUCGUAAUAUUAUGGGAGGAGUCAUUUGGUGGGUUUUGAGUGAAAUCCAAUCUCUAGAACUAUACAAUACACUAACCACCCCAUUUGUGAGUGAACUUCGUAAGAACCUGAAUUGUCCGAUUUCAAGGACCAAUCGAUAUCGGAUUGAGUCUAAAACUUGGGCAACAUAAUAAUAUUGUGGGAGGAGUCAUUUGGUGGGUUUUGAGGGAAAUCCAAUCUUUAGAACUAUACAAUACACCAACCACCCCAUUUCAGAACAAACUUCGUACGAACCUGAAUUGGCCUAUUUCAAGGACCAAUCGAUAUGGGAUUGAGUCCAAAACUUGGGGAACAUCAUAAAAUUGUGGGAGGAGUCAUUUGGUGGGUUUUGAGUGAAAUCCAAUCUCUAGAACUAUACAAUACACCAACCACCCCAUUUUAGAACGAACUUCGUACGAACCUGAAUUGGCCUAUUUCAAGGACCAAUCGAUAUCGGAUUGAGUCCAAAACUUGGGGAACAUCAUAAUGUUGUGGGAGGAGUCAUUUGGUGGGUUUUGAGUGAAAUCCAAUCUCUAGAACUAUAGAAUACACCAACCACCCCGUUUCAGAACGAACUUCGUACGAACCUGAAUUGUCCGAUUUCAAGGACCAAUCGAUAUCGGAUUGAGUCCAAAACUUGGGGAACAUCAUAAUAUUGUGGGAGGAGUAAUUUGGUGGGUUUUUAGUGAAAUACAAUCCCUAGAACUAUACAAUACACCAACCACUCCAUUUCAGAACGAACUUCGUACGAACCGAACUGUCAAAUUUUGUACCGAUCGAUAUCGGAUUGAGUCUAAAAAUUGGGGAACAUCAUAAUAUUGUGGGAGGAGUCAUUUGGUGGGUUUUGAGUGAAAUCCAAUCUCUAGAACUAUACAAUACACCAACCACCCCAUUUCAGAACGAACUUCAUACGAACCUGAAAUGUCCAAUUUCAAGGACCAAUCGAUAUUGAAUUGAGUCCAAAACUUGGGGAGCAUCAUAAUAUUGUGGGAGGAGUCAUUUGGUGGGUUUUGAUUGAAAUACCAUCCCUAGAACUAUACAAUACACCAACCACUCCAUUUCAGAACGAACUUCGUACGAACCUGAAUUGUCAAAUUUCGUGGACUGACCGAUAUCGAAUUGAGUCCAAAACUUGGGGAGCAUUGUAAUAUUGUGGGAGGAGUCAUUUAGUGGGUUUUGAGUGAAAUACAAUCCCUAGAACUAUACAAUACACCAACCACUCCAUUUAAGAACGAACUUCGUACGAACCUGAAUUGUCAAAUUUUGUGGACCGAUCGAUAUCGGAUUGAGUCCAAAACUUGGGGAACAUCAUAAUAUUGUGGGAGGAGGCAUUUGGUGGGUUUUGAGUGAAAUACAAUCCCUAGAACUAUACAAUACAUCAACCACUCCAUUUCCGAACGAACUUGGUACGAACCUGAAUUGUCAAAUUUCGUGGACCGAUCGAUAUCGGAUUGAGUCCAAAACUUGGGGAACAUCAUAAUAUUGUGGGAGGAGUCAUUUGGUGGGUUUUGAGUGAAAUCCAAUAUCUAGAACUAUACAAUACACCAACCACCCCAUUUCAGAACGAACUUCAUACGAACCUGAAAUGUCCAAUUUGUGGGAGGAGUCAUUUGGUGGGUUUUGAGUGAAAUCCAAUCUCUAGAACUAUACAAUACACCAACCACCCCAUUUCAGAACGAACUUCGAAUGAACUUGAAUUGCCCGAUUUCAUUGACCAAUCGAUAUCGGAUUGAGUCCAAAACUUGGGAAAGAACAUAACAUUGUGGGAGGAGGCAUCUGGUGGGUUUUGAGUGAAAUACAAUCCCUAGAACUAUACAAUACACUAAGCACUCCAUUUCAGAACGAACUUCGUACGAACCUGAAUUGUCCGAUUUCAAGGACCAAUCGAUAUAGGAUUGAGUCCAAAACUUGGGGAACAUCAUAAAAUUGUGGGAGGAGUCAUUUGGUGGGUUUUGAGUGAAAUCCAAUCUCUAGAACUAUACAAUACACCAACCACCCCAUUUCAGAACGAACUUCGUACGAACCUGAAUUGUCCGAUUUCAAGGACCAAUCGAUAUUGGAUUGAGUCCAAAACUUGGGGAACAUCAUAAUAUUGUCGGAGGAGUCAUUUGGUGGGUUUUGAGUGAAAUACAAUGUUGAGCCUAUUCUUAACAACUAAAAUGAGUUAUUAAAAACAGCAACUUUAAUUCUCGCAAGUGCACAAACCGUUUAUAGUAUAGCUUAUGUAAAUACGAGGUCGAUCCCAUGGAGAAUGGUAACUUGGUUCCAAGUUAAAUUACUUAGAAUGCUAGAAAACCAAAGAACAAAGAAACUGACUAACUAGCUAAAGGCAAGGUCGAAUUCAACAAUGCCUCUUGCUAAUUACUCAAGGUCUAGGACAGAAUCCUAGCACCACACACGCACUCGAAAUGGGGGGUUUUGUUGUUGAAAUGAAAACAAGAAAGUGAAAUAAAAGUGCUCGAAAGUAAACACUGGCAGCAAUCAACAAGUUGUGAAACAAUGAUUGAGAGGUGUUAGAGCCUUGGAAUCCACCACUAGUUUUCCUAUCCAAGUUAUGAAUGCAUAGAAAUUGACUCAAGCUUCAUUAACAGUAGAUUAUCGCAUACAAGCCUAUGGUAUCUAGGUGCAGGAUGCAUGAUUCUCCUAAGGCAUGUGAUUAUGCAUGGUAUCUACACAACGCGUGAUCUCUAAUAUGCAACCUAAGCAUGGUAUCUACUUAGAAUAAAGCAUACAAGAGUCAUUAAGCUCCUUGAGAGUAUGAUAAUCACACAAAUCCUAGAACAUGGUAUCUGUCCUAGUCAACCUAUGGUUAUUAACCCCUUGAAUGAUUCUUAGGCCAUUCAUGUGUUGCUUGUGAAAGGAGAGUAGAAUUGGUGAAUCUAAACCUCUUCCCAACCUGUGCUAGAUGCAUAAAAUCCUAGUUAGCUACUCCAAGAAAACAUACAUCAAGCACAUAAUAAACUGGAGAUUAACAACUUGAUCAUAAAAGCAAGGAAAUCAAUUAACUAUAAAAUCAUCCAUAACAUUGAAUAUUCAUGACUAGGGCUUCAUCCUAAGCCCUAACUAAAUGGAUUAGUUAGACAUAACUAUGAAUACAUAAAAUAAGAAAUACAUAGAUAGGAUAAAGAGAGGAGAAGAACUAGAUGAUGGCAGCAAGGAAGUUCCUAGGACAGCUCCAAGCUCCCUUGACAGCUCCAAGCUCCCUUCUCUCUUUGUGGUGAAUCUGAAUGUGUGUAUGAGAGUAAUGGAUGAAGUGAAUGUGUGUGUCUGCCCUCCCUUGAAUGAGUGUGAAACUCUUUAUUUAUAGAGUGCAAUUUCGUGCUCCCCUUUGGCUGGUGAAGCACACCUCUCUUAGCUGCUCCCAACUGCUCCAGCUGCCCAUACUUGCCAACUGCUCCAGCUGACAAAUACAUGCUUUGGUAUGGUUUCUUUAUGGAAAGCUUGACUUUUGUUCAUAUUUCUGAGCUUCUGAGCUGAUUUGACUCCCAUGUAUGGCUGCCCAUGUGUAGCACAUGGCUCUAGGGAUGUAGCCACAUUAAAUGUGAUGGCAGCCAACAUGACAUUUCUGUGAACUUGGUUCAGUCUUUGACGUGUUGAGGGCUCCAGAUUUAUCCAAUUGGGCUGAGAUUUGGAUAUGUUAUAAUAGACACCCAUUGGAACAACGUCUAUGAAGGAUGUCUCCUCAUCCGACCUGUGUAAGUUACUGAAAUGAGGCCUGCAAGAUGACCUACGAAACUGGAGUGACAAGGAGUGUGGCACAAAUUGGUUUUGUCUUUAAGCUCAUAUUCCUCUUGUGCCACUCAGCCCUUAACACGCAUGAAUUGUAUCAAAUGUCAUCCCCAUGCGGUCUUAACCUACAAAGCACACAAACAUAGGUAAGAGACUCAAAAUAAAGAGAAGCUAAGAAAAAUUACUAAGGAAAGAAGGCUUGCAAAUGUGUGAAAUUAUGAGCUUAUCAUACAAUCCCUUGAACUAUACAGUACACCAACCACUCCAUUUCAGAACGAACUUCGUAUGAACCUGAAUUGUCAAAUUUCGUGGACUGAUCGACAUCGGAUUGAGUCCAAAACUUGGGGAACAUCAUAAUAUUGUGGGAGGAGUCAUUUGGUGGACUUUGAGUGAAAUCCAAUCUCUAGAACUAUACAAUACACCAACCACCCCACUUCAGAAUGAACUUCGUACGAACCUCAAUUGUCCGAUUUCAACGACCAAUCGAUAUCGGAUUGAGUCUAAAACUUGGGGAACAUAAUAAUAUUGUGGGAGGAGUCAUUUGGUGGGUUUUGAGUGAAAUCCAAUCUCUAGAACUAUACAAUACACCAACCACCCCAUUUCAAAACGAACUUCGUACGAACCUGAAUUGUUCGAUUUCAAGGACCAAUCGAUAUCGGAUUGAGUCCAAAACUUGGGGACUGCAAACUUCAACACACUUAGACUAUUUACAAGCGUGAUUUCUCUAAAGGUGUUUCAGAGAGAAUCUUUAAAACUGAAGAAAAUAAAAUGCAGCUGAUAAAAAUCAGUUCUGCUUACAACUGAGGCCGAAACCUGAAUUUGUAGACAACUUUCAACUAUGGUUUACAAAACCAACUAUGGUUGGACAGCUGUAGAGGCACGGGUUGUUCAACCUGAUUCAACUUUUAGCAAUUGUAGAGGUAACUUUUGACUUCUUCAUAUGCAUUAGUCUGAAUGUUGAGUUAAGUUGCUGCAUAGUCAUAUUCAUCUUCUUUCUCGCUAUCUCUCUGUGUUCCUUGUUUUGGUAUCAGAGCCGUAAGAGUUACGGUCUUUGUCUAAGUCUGCUACUCAUUCCCGCCCAAGUGGCUGGUUUAAGCAUCUGAGUAGAAGGUUUCAUCUUCUUCCUUUUCUUUUCUUUUAUUCUCCAAGUUGUCUGUUCAUCUUUCUCUAAGGUCUGACCCGUGAGUCCUUUUUGCUAGAUCUGUAAGUCCCGAGGGUAGGGCGUUUGUGCUGGGCAGGAGACAGAAAAUUGAGAAAGGUUAAUAGGUUAUUUGUAGAGUAAACGGUGAGUCUAGGAAGUCCCUGUUUAUCUUCUUCCUCAGUCUGCAAGAGUCAAACACUUGAGUAGCCAUGAGUCGUUUUCUUAGGUCGAAUUCCUGUAAGUCAAGCAGUUCUAAAACCAGUAUAAGUCGACUCCCAGAGAUAGUUAAUGAAGAACAAUUUGAAUAUGAUUCUAGUUGCAAAGAACAAUUAGACUUUAGAGAUUGGAAUAUACCUAAAGUCCCGAGUCAAAAAAUCUAUAAGAAACAUUGGUUGCCUUCUAGUUUUAAUAGUACCACACAUGUCAAAACAGUUGAACAAGUUUACGCUCUUAGUAAAGAACACGAAACUUGCCAGUUGCUUAAUCUUGAGUCAAUUAAAAAGCACAAGACUGAUGGAAACAAUUUCCUUCAUAUUGGUCUUGUUCAAGUUGCCGUUAAGCCCCUAACCAGGUUAGGAUUAAAAGCCUCCAUUCUGCUCUGUUUACGCGAUGCCCGGUUCACCGCGUUCAGUGACAGUACAUUAGGAGUUAUUGAGUCCAGUUUGUGUAACGGUCCAGUUCAUUUUGACUGUUACCCAGACUUUACUGUAAGCCUUAGUGAUCCGCAUAUAUUGAGAACCCUAACUCUCAAUAUUAAGACUGAAGGUUAUAAUGUCCUCCCAGGAACCCAACCUUUAGCCUUAGUUUAUAGAAUUUAUUAUAAGGUCACAGGAACAAAUAUGAACUUCCAGGCCUUAAACAAAAGCCCAAAGGAUCAGACAGUCCUGAUCCCGAGUCAUACCUCAGACGCCCAUAUACAAGUUCCCCAGACCAUUAAAUGGUCAGAAGUUGCCCUUCCAACAGAUUGGACCCUAGUUACCGAGAGCCAACCAGCUCCGAUCCAACGUAGUCUAAACAAUUUAGACUACAUCCAACAAUAUUUAGAUGGCACGGUUAAGAUUAGAUUUGAUAACCAGCCUCUAAGAAAGUCUAAUGUCCAGUUACACCAGUUGCCAACUCCUGGUCAGUCUCAAAGGCAUGCCCCUGCUCGGCAUUCCUUUACUGCCCCUUCCUCCACUCUAGAACGAGACCUAGAGUUAGAAAAAACAAUGAUAGAUUUGAAACUUGAGUCCCUGAGAAGAUCCUCUCAGGUAACCCAGCCCUGCUAUGGCAAGGCUCCAGUUGAACAAAAGUCAGAAUCCCCUGAGUCACCUACCCAGUCUGACUUUGUAGUUGAAAACUAUGCCACAGUUGAUAACCAGUUGCGAACCCUUAAUAGAAAAUUUAAAAUUGAUUGGUCACGUCUAAACAAACAUCUCAAAGCCCCUGAGAAUCAAUCUAGACGAGACAGUUACCAUCAAGCCUAUCCAGAAGCCCAACGCCGCCUAAAAAUCUUUAGUGAAUGGAAAGAUUAUAUGCGGUCUGCCCAAGUUGAAAUUUUCUACCUUGAUUUUGUUGAAAGCCGUUAUAUGUCCAGUGAUGAGUUGAAAACUUUGACUAAGGAAAAAUGGAAAAUGUCAGAUAAGUCUGUCGUUGAAUCCAGUCAUCCUCCAGUCGAAACCAUAAUUAUUGAGCAUAAGAAUGCGUCUAUUCCUGCCACUCCUUUCAAAACCUUUGAAAGUACUGACAGUAAUAGAAAGAUUCUUGAGCAAAAUAAUUAUACCAACCAGAGUCUAAUCGUUAUAGGAAAACAGUUGGACACAAUUGAAACUAAAAUUGAUAAGUUAGGUUCUACAGACGUAGAGUCUAAAAAGAAAGUUGAAAAACCAAUUGUCCAGUUCCAGGAUCUUAGGUUAAGCCCGACUCUUAAGAUCACACCAACCAUGAAGAAAAUCGAAGAUAUGUUAGCCCAGUUGACCCCUGCAAAAAUUGAAAAAACUGAGAAAUCUGGUCUUAAAACACUAGAUGCUUUUGCAGAAGAAAACACUUCUGAGUCUGAGUCGUCAGAAACAAGUAACAUUUCUAAAAUUGAAAAAGCCUUUCAAACUUUAGAAAUCCAAGUUGAACCCAAAGUUAAGAAAUUAGAAAAGUUUGUCAGCCCCAGUAGUCUGACCAAAAAUUGGUAUCCCAGACCAACACCUCCAGACAUUCAAUUUGAAGAAAGAAACUUGCAAACCCAGUUUUCUGUUUCUUCCGACAAAUUAUAUGAAUGGAAUAUUGAUGGUCUUUCUGAGCAGGAAAUCCUGAAUAAGUUACAACAUAUGUCUAUGGUUGCCAAUAGUUAUAUCACCAAUCACAAUUUCAGACAGUCUGAAAUUGUCCCUCUAUUAGUUACUGGUUUCACCGGUACUCUCAGAAGUUGGUGGGAUAAACAUCUGAGUCCUGAGUCUAAAAGCCGAAUAACUUUUGCUGUAAAACUUAAUGAUGACGGUCUCCCUAUAUUUGACGAACGUUUAGGUCAAGGUAUAGAAGACGGUGUCAACACUCUAUUUUACACCAUAAUUGACCAUUUCAUAGGAACCCCUAGUAAUCAAACUGCUAGGAUCCAUGAUCAGUUGAGUAAUCUUAGAUGCCCAAAAUUGUCUGAUUUCAGAUGGUACAAGGAUGUCUUCAUCUCUAGGGUAAUGCUUAGAGACGAUAGUAAUCAGCCAUUCUGGAAAGAAAAGUUUGUCAACGGUCUGCCAAACCUAUUUGCCCAUAAGAUCCGAACUACCCUCAGUAAUGAAUUAGGUCAUAUUGAUUGGGAUAGUUUAACUUAUGGUAAUAUUAUAAGCACAAUUAAUCAAGUUGGUAUGAAAAUGUGUGUUGAUUACAAAAUCGAAAAACAAAUACAGUCCGAUAGGAAAUCAGCCAAAUAUGAGUUAGGAAACUUCUGUGAACAAUACGGUCUCAGUAGUAUUCCGCCCUCCAGAAGAAAUAAGUCUAAGCCUAGUCACCUUAGGAAACGCCGGUUUUCCUCUAAAAGAAAACAUUUUGCCGUUAAAAGUGAUAAUGAGUUUUAUAAGAAAAGAAAAAGUUUUAAAAGAAAAAAUUGGUCUAAAGCCCCAAGAAAAGCCCAGAAAAGUCGACCCAAAACUGAUAAGUCCAAAGUUAAAUGUUUUAAAUGCCAAAAAUUCGGUCAUUAUGCCUCUGAGUGUAAAGUGAAAGAUGCUAUUAAACAGUUGCAGAUUUCAGAAGCAGAAAAAGAAAAGUUGAUCCAAGUUUUAGAGUUGCGAGACUCCGAAACUAGUAGCCCUGAAACCUUAGUUGCCAGUUCUGGGUAUGAUUCUGAACAAGCUUCAGAUUCCCAGCCGAGUUCCCCUGAUAUUCAAUUUGGUUGCACUGAUAAGUGUUGUAAUAGUUUAAAAUCCAUUUUUGUUCUUACUAAAUAGGAAGAACAAGAAGAGUUGUUAAUUGAUUUAAUCAGCCGAGUAGAAAACCCUGAGUUAAAGUCCGAUUACUUGAGAAAAUUGCGAAAAGUCAUCAGUCAAGAGAAUUCUAGUAGUCCUAAACCGCAACCAGUCAGUUUAGCCACUACUAUAGAAAAGUUUGCCCAGAGAAAGAAAGUUGUUACCUUACAAGACCUCCAGUUAGAAGUUAAAAUAAUCAAACAAGAAUUAGCCGAGUUAAGACAAAUCAGUAACCAGUUGCAGGUUGAGAACCAUACAAUCAGGCAAGACCUAACAAGUCUUGGAAAAGGCAAAAUGCCUUUAGAGCCUAAUAGCCAGUCAGACAGCCCUGCUGGUUCUGACGAAGAAACCCCAGUUGUCAACUUAAUCAAACAAGUCAAUUUCUGAAAAUGGUAUUCGAAAGUUACAAUAGUUGUCAAAGAUUUUGAAUUUACCACAGUUGCCUUAUUUGAUUCAGGAGCUGACCUUAACUGCAUCUAGGAAGGUCUAAUCCCUACUAAGUAUUACCAGAAGUCUAGAGAAACCCUAAGCACUGCUUCAGGAAAAUCUCUCCAGUUGAAUUAUAAGUUACCUAAAGCCCAUAUUUGCCAAAACAAAGUCUGUUUUAAAACUUCGUUUGUUUUAGUUAAAAAUAUUACUGAUGAGGUUAUCUUAGGAUUACCUUUUAUAAGUCUGCUUUAUCCCUUCCAGGUAGAAUACGAUGGUGUUAUCUCUACCCAGUUAGGUAAAAAGGUUAAGUUCAGUUUCCUUUCCAAACCAGAGUUGCAUAAUCUAAAAGCCUUACAAAAACAGUCAGUUUCUAAGUCGCUUCUAGUUAUUAGAAAGACUAACCAGUUGAAUUUUCUUAAAGAAGAAAUUAAGUUUAAGAGAGUUGAACAACAACUUGCCAGUCAGUCCUUACAGUUGCAAAUUCAAAAAUUUGAACAAAGAUUAAAAGAAGAAAUCUGUUCUGAGUUGCCCACAGCCUUUUGGUAUAGGAAACAGCAUGUCGUCCGUCUUCCUUAUAUCAAAACCUUUAGUGAGAAAAAUAUCCCCACUAAAGCCAGGUCAAUCCAAAUGAGUCAAGAAAUGAUGGAGUUCUGUAAAAAAGAAAUUGAUGAGUUGCUUCAAAAGAAAAUAAUUCGUAAAAGUAAGUCUCCUUGGUCGUGUCCUGCUUUUUAUGUUCAGAAAAAUGCUGAAUUAGAGAGAGGAGUCCCAAGAUUAGUUAUCAAUUACAAGCCUCUUAAUGCGGUCCUAGAAUGGAUUAGGUAUCCCAUACCUAAUAAAAGAGAUCUCAUUAAUCGGUUAGAAAAAGCAGUUGUUUAUUCAAAAUUCGAUAUGAAAAGUGGUUUCGGGCAAAUCCAAAUAGAUGAGUCAGAUAGAUAUAAGACUGCAUUUGUCACUCCCUUUGGUCAUUAUGAAUGGAAUGUAAUGCCCUUUGGUUUGAAAAAUGCUCCUAGUGAAUUCCAGAAUAUCAUGAAUGAUAUAUUCAAUCCUUACAGUCAGUUUUCGAUUGUUUAUAUUGAUGAUGUUCUGAUCUUUUCUGAGUCAAUAGAACAACAUUGGAAACAUUUGAAUAAGUUCCUUCAAGUUGUCAAACAAAAUGGUUUAGUCGUUUCUGUCAAAAAGAUCAAGUUAUUUCAAACCAAUAUACGUUUCCUUGGUUUCAAUAUUUGUCAGUCGCAAAUAUCUCCAAUUGAUCGAGUCAUUCAAUUUGCUGAUAAGUUCCCUGAUCAAAUUCUUGAUAAAAGUCAACUCCAGAGGUUUUUAGGAUCUCUAAAUUAUAUCUCUGACUUUUAUCAGAAUCUGAGAAAACUAUGUAAGCCAUUAUUUGAUAGGUUGCAGAGUAACCCUCCUCCUUGGUCGUCUACUCACACAGAAAUUGUCAAACAGAUCAAGUCCCAUGUCAAGACACUUCCCUGUCUUGGUAUUCCUUCAGUUGAUUCCUUCAAAAUAGUUGAAACUGAUGCCUCUGACAUUGGUUAUGGUGGCAUUCUUAAGCAAAAACUCAGUCCAAGUUCUCCAGAACAAAUUGUUCGAUUCCAUUCUGGAACCUGGACUCAGUCGCAGCUUAAUUAUAGUACUAUUAAAAAAGAAAUAUUAGCUAUUGUAUUAUGCAUUAGUAAAUUUCAAGAUGAUUUGCUUAAUCAAAAGUUUUUAAUCCGAGUUGAUUGCAAGUCUGCAAAACAUGUUUUAGAAAAAGAUGUUCAAAACAUUGCAUCUAAACAGAUUUUCGCACGAUGGCAAAGUAUUUUAAGCAUAUUUGAUUUUGAAAUUGAAUAUUUGAAAGGCAGUGAGAAUUCUGUUCCUGAUUUUCUCACUAGAGAAUUCUUGCAGGAUGCACAAUGUCUCCCAAGAAAGACAAACAAAAAGCAGUAGCCAGUCAACCUAAGUCGCCUAAGUCAACCCAGUCAUCCCAGUCGCUCAGAGUCCUCCCUUCCUCCAUGAGUCAACCUAAGCCAGAGUUGCCCAAGCAAAUAGUGCCUUAUCCUGGUCACCCCCCAUUACCAGUUGCCACUCCAAUUUCAGUUGCAAACAGAUUUUCCUCUUUAGGAUCAACAGUUGGCCAAAUUCGCCCCAGUUAUCAAUCUACCCUAAUUUCUAGUUAUGACCCCUUUGCAGUCGAUAUCCCUGCAGGGCCAUCAGUUGUCUACAAAAAAUCGUCUCCCUAUUUGCCUAAAAGUAAUUCUCAUUUAUUUGUCAUCGAGUCUCUGUAUGAUAUCCAUGCAAACCCAGUUGAAAUUGCCAAACACUAUUUCCCUCCUGGAUUUCAUUAUAUGCCCCAGAGUCCGUAUAAGUCCCUCAAGUAUUAUAGAGAUAUAUUACUUGAGACACAGUCAGUUGAAAUUAAGCCGAUAAAGGAUCGGGAUCAUCCUGAAACCAUUCUUUAUCAUUCUUUGUAUAUUCAUAAAAUUGUAAGUCAAGAAUCUUUCAGUAGCCGCCCCUAUGAGUUGAAAGUUCUUAAGUCAAAAUUACAAUAUAAUUAUUCUGAUUAUAUUGAAGCCUGGUAUACUAUUUUCCUUCAUCAAUCUGAAGAUUUUAGUCAUUCCUGGUUUAUUAAUUUUGAUAAUAAGUUCAAAAGCCCUUUCCCCUACUGGUUCCUUCACUGGUGGGAAAAAUAUGGUCCAGUUGACGAAAUUCUACCAGUAGCAGUCCUUGAGUUGAUCCGCCAUUAUACCAAAAGAGCCAAGUUCUCCCUAGUUGAUUUAUUUUUCCCAAAACAGUUACUGUUUAUUGCCAGAUACAAAGUGCCUUGGAUCCUCAAAUGGUCUUACGCCAUUACCAAGGAUGUCCGAGUAUUUGCUCGCCAAUUCUCAGUCAAAUGGUGGGACAAGUUUGAAGUUGACAGAAUUGCCAAGUACGUUUACAAUGACUUCCCCCGGGAGCCAGUUCCUCGCCCAGUAUCUCCUACAGGCUCAGUCAGAUCAUCCUUAUCAGUUGAAGGAAAGUCUAAAGCUGAGCUCCAGGAAAUUGCACGCCAGCUGAUCAUCCAGGCCUCUCAAAUGGAUGAUGAUGAGGACAAUGAUUCUCCCUCAUCGUCUAGUUGCCAGCCCAUGCAGAGCCCUGCCAAGACAAAGUCAUGGUAUGAUGACAGCCAGGACCCCUAUGAUGCCUACGAUCUAGGGGAAUCCUCUCCAUAAUUGCCUCAGUUGCCGACAAGCAAGUCUCGUCAAAAGAAGUUGCCAAUUUGUCAAAAGUAGUUGCCGACAGACCACUCUGUCAAAAGAAGAUGCCAAAUCACGUGAAAGCAGCAGACAAAGCAUCUCUGCUUUUACUUUAAUCAGAUCACCAAAAAGUAGCAGACAAAGCACUGUUCACUUUUUGACAAUUCACCGAAAGUAGCCGAGAGCAUCUGGAGGAGUCAUUUGGUGGGUUUUGAGUGAAAUACAAUCCCUAGACCUAUACAAUACACCAACCACCCCAUUUCAGAACGAACUUCGUACGAACCUGAAUUAUCCGAUUUCAAGGACCAAUCGAUAUCGGAUUGAGUCCAAAACUUGGGGAACAACAUAAUAUUGUGGGAGGAGUCAUUUGGUGGGUUUUGAGUGAAAUACAAUCCCC
rnacentral:lncRNA from 1 species